CCUCCUUGAACCCUACGCAUGUGCCAUUUACCUGCUGAAGAGAGAACACACCCUGACAAAAAAGGGGGUUGCCAGGGUUCAGCAUCUCCCAGGAGAAUGCACAUUUCUUCUACAUUUCCUUUGCUGUCCAAUUAUUUCAUAUGCAAUCUUACUCAAGCGGGCUCCAGAUUCAGAUGCUUGGCGCGACCCAUCGGAAGCACCCCCACCAGUAAUUAUUGACAGGCACAAGCACUACGAGAUCGACGCCGUCCUUGACUCCCGCUACUCACGCAAACGCUUACAAUAUUUAGUCUCUUGGGUUGGAUACCCUUCUGGCCAUAAUCAAUGGAUUUAUGCUGAAAAUAUUGAUGCCCCCUCUUUAAUUUCUGCUUUUCAUAAGUCUUUCCCCCACAAGCCAGGAGUGGAGGGAGCUUUCUUUGGGGAGGCGGAGUGUAAAGUUGUGGGUUGAUUCUUGCUUUCUGUUCAUCAGCCUGGCCUUGGCAACAUUCCUCAGACUGGGCUGUGUGCCCAGGAUUUUGGUUAUCAUAACCUUGCUGUCUAUCUGUGCUUACUAUAUGUGUGUGAAGUCUUACUUUCUGUCUGCGUGAGAAUCUACGUUUCAGGGGGGAAUCUGCCGGGUGUUGUGGGCGGGGGCCAGAGAGCUCGUAAAAGCAGCGUUUUGGUGGGGAAAGGUCAGAGUCUGCAUUCCGUGUAUUGUGCAUCAUGGAAGUUUAAGAAAUAAAGAACUGCUGAAGUUA